ACCACGCGGUAGUUCCCCGCCCCGCGCGCCGCAUUCAAACGCCGGCCCGUUCUGGGGGGCGCGCGUGCGCGCGCUCGGUAGACUCCUCCCUUCCCUCUCUGGGGGGCUUCUCACCAUGUCAGGCAAGGAGCAGCAGCACCAGACCCCCGGCGCGAGAGCGGGGCCGGCGCGAGACCAGGAGGCCGCACGACUGCAGGAGGAGCUAAAGUCUCUUGAGCAGAUGCAUUCAUCCCUGAGAGCCCUCCAUCAAAUGAUUGCCUCCUGUAAUGAGACCAUAAAUUCUCUUGUCCAGAAUAACAACACAUUAACAGACAUGAAUAAAGGCUGGCAGAUUUUCUUCACUGGACAGAGAGGAGAUUUAAAGUAACUUGUUUCAUACUCCUUAUGCUAUAUUUUGAAUGCUUUUUAAAAAAGCAUAAGUUGGAAAUCAAAUUAAUUAUCUUGAAGUGGAAUCUUGCUAAACCCUCAUGGAAUUGUUUGUCAUUGAUUCAACUGGAUUGAACAUAUUUACAACUACAGGCUUGGUCAUCAGCCAUAGACAACAACUUGGAGCUGAAAACAUCCCAUCAACUGUAAAGAAGAUAGAUGUUUUUUAAUAUUGGACUUGAAGUGGCUUAACAACGAACACACCUUAAAGUAGUGGACUCACUGCAACCUCAUUUUUGUUAUUUCUGAAGUGUCUUAUUACAUGCUUCAUUUUCUAACUCCUGUCUUGAGGUCUACUGCUUACAUUUUUGUUUACAUAAAUGACCUGUUUUAUUAAAAUACUCUGGCUGUCAAGGUACUCACUUCUUCAAAUUGAAACUUGCAAUGGAGGAGUUUUACACAGCAGUGGGAAUGCUUCAUAGCUAUGGAGAUUACUGACCCUAGCAGUUGACUUCAGCAUGUUGUCUUCUGUCCACAGGAUAUUAAUACUAAAGGUAAUGCACUAUGAAGGAAUAUUUACUUAUCAGGUGUGCAGUGGUGAUUGUAUCUAUAUACAAUAACAUGCAGCACCAGCCCCAUUCUUCCAACAUUUUAAAGCCAUGACCAGUAAUUUGUAUUCAUCCAUGCAUAAAUUGCAUGAAAGUUUGCCAGUUUGGUCGAGGGAUGGAGAUAUUAGAUAAACUUGUUCUAAGCAUCACAGCUGUAAAAUGGGUCAGAAAACCAAAGAUGAUAGCCUGUCAAUUUCACUGAUACUACAUUUCCUAAAGAAUCAGAUAAAACAUAUAAAGAUGGUUCAAGUAUGUAAAACUUUGAUCAAUUUAAAACAUUGCCUUUAAUAUCUCACUCAUGAUGGAUGAUUUUCUAUGGAUGUUUCCCUCCUGUUCUCCUCUGAUAACCUUCACAGGUGGGUAGGUCUUUACUGCAGGGAUUGGAAGCAGCAGAACAGUCAGUCAAGGAAGCAGUGCCUGAGGGGACCUACUCAUCAACUGAUAGUCUCAAAUUAUUUUGCCUCCAAGUAGUCUGAUUUAUGACACCCAUGAGUUGUUUGCAUUCUUUCAGUAGAGAACCAUUAUUUCACCAUCUUUGGGUGUUUUUUCAAGUCUGCUCUCUCUUCUGCUGAGUUGGUCUCUCCCCUCACAGUGCUAAGUGUCCUCCUCUGCCACAACAGCCAGUGAUGUGUUUGAUUUGCAGAAUGGCUGAUGAGCCCACUUGUGUGUGAAGUGCAACGUCUCCCACAGCAUGACACACAAUAAGCUUGUUGCAUCCAUUAAAAAACAAACAUCUGAAACUGAGCACAUUUAAUUUUAUAGUGAAUGUUUAGAAGCUUACACUAUAGAUUUACAUGUAGAUUUUAGAUUAAAGAAUUAUGAGUUAAGUGUAUUUCUGACCAAAUGCCCAUAAGUAGCCUGUCUGCCUUCUUUGAUUAAAUGAAAGCUUGUCUUGCAUCUAAGUAAUUGUUUCUUAAACUAGACUUCUCUACUUUUUAAAAAAUCUUCCUCCUUUGAGUUCGUCACUCAGCUUGCAAGAGCUCAAUGAGAAAUUAUUGCUGAUUUCAUCACAUCAGGAUAAACUGCAACAACAAAAGCAUCAACUGGUUCACUGGGGUAUGUUCCAACAAUUAAUACUGUAGAUCAGUUAAAGAUUAGGAACCCAGCCAAAUUGUACAGUAAAUUAUCUAUUUUCACAAGACACAUUUAUCAUCUGUUUUGAACCACUCCAUAGUAGCACUGCUUUAGAGCCAAAUCCUGCUGUAAUUAAAGUGAAUGACAACAUUCACUUUGUCUUCAAUGAGAUCAAGAUUUUGGCCUGUAGGAAGUUCAAUUACAUUUAGUACAGUGAUUUCAUAAUCUAGGUACAUCACAAUGUGUGCGGGUUACGGCGUAAAGAUCUACAUAAACCUGCAAUUCCAUUGCUGUUGUGAGUUUCUGUAUUUUAGUCAUCCUUUUCUACUUUAGAAAAUGGAUUCUUUGUCCACAUAAUUAGUCCAGUAGGUAACUGUUGACUUAGCUUCCUAAAAUUAAAAAAAAAAAAAAAAAUUAAGAUCAGAGAUGUAUACAUUUAUAACUGUAUUGAGGCAUUAACCUACAUAUGUAUUAGGCUGCAUAUUCAACAUUUUUGGUUGAAACAGCUUGUGAUAGCAUGUUGUAAUACUUUGUUAUAAAAUUUCUAUUUCUCUAUUGUGCCACCUUGCUUCAUGGGAGUAGUAGUUUGGGUUCCCAUUCCCCCCCCCCACCCCCCAUAGGCUGAGCUUCCUUCUCAGAGUACAUCUCCCAGCAUAUAACGUGGUCACCCCUCUGCCCAAGUUGUAUGGUGUGCCUUGAGUCUCACAUCACUUCCAUUGCAUCAUGAGUGAUCCAGUCUGGCCAGGGGGCCUGGGCUAUAAGGGAGAAUGGGGAGAUCAGACUCCCAAACUACAACUCCCAUAAAGCCAUGCAACACACUAAGGAAAUGGAAAUCAUUGUUGAACUGACUCUAAAUGAAUCUUUUUUGGAGGUUCAGUUCAGCUAACCAAAAUGAAACAUUUUUGAUUCGGGAAUGUUGAAACGUUUCAUUUUGAUAAAAAAAUGAGAAACUCUUUUCCUAUUUCCAAACUGAUUUUUUUUGGAAUUUCCAUUUUGCAAAAGAACUGAUAUUUCAAUUUUUUGUCCCAGUUUGGGAUAAAAUGGUAUUGGAAUUUCUCAAAGGACAAAAAUUCUGAAUUUUUGCUCUACUUCUGAUGCCCCCAAGUAAAACUAUAUUAGUGGCCUAUAUAUGAGCAAAGGGAUUUUUUUUAAAUGGGAGAUUGUCAAACCUAAAGCUGUAGGCUUCACUUUAAAGUAGAAGAUGCCCGUAGAAGCCCAUCCUCUCAUUCUAAUGUUUGGCAGAGAUGUUUGUAACAUUUAAGGUCAGGGUCCUACAGUCUUUACUCAUACAACUCCUACUGAAGUCAGUUGCAGGGGAGGAGCAAUUCCCUUUGUAAAAACUGGGCACAAUGGGACUAGAGUAGUGGGGGAUUGCUUUGAGAUUUACACAUAAAACAAGAUGAAAAAUCCUUCUUUCCCAGUAAAUAUUGGUUUUAGUCUCCAAAUUUGCUAUGAUAGUUUUUCACAGGAGAAUUUAGUUUUCUAUUUAUUUUUUUGGGACAAGAUUUAGUAACUUUUAGAUGGAACUUAUUAAAAUAUUCCCUCUUCAAACUCUUUCACUGUUUUCCUCAUAUUUCUUUGGUUCUCUAAAUUAAAAAAAAAUUCAGGUUUUUCAUUUCACACAGCAACUCCUCUUUAAGCUGAUACAGGUGUACAGGAAUGGGAAAUAUUAAAGUUAUUGCAGUAAUUUGUCACAGCCAAAUGGUUUUGACAAAGAAAACUGAACACACUGACUAUAUGUCAUCCUCCACACACUGUUACAGAGCUAGAGAUGUAUGAAAAAAGUGUUUUGUAUGGUGGGACAGAAAGGAAGAAACGGAAGUGUGGAGAAGACAUGGGGAAACAUGAAUGUUGGGCAGAUAAAUAGCCACAUUAAGGGAAGGCGGAAAUACAGAAGUAUAAGGUAGGUGAGCACUAGCAAUUUUCUGUCCUCUUCCCUUGAUAGACAGCCCAACAUGGGGCACCACUGCUCUGAACCAGUACCUGGGUGCUGCAGUCUGGUGCCUUGGCCAGCUGUAACCAAUAACCUUAGGCUUUCCACCAGGAGAACAGCUAUAGCUCUUCUCUGGCUCAAAGUGGUUUAAUUCUCCAGCAAUCUGCAAUAGGUCCAUCCAAUGGAGAGGGUAGUAGUACUCCCCUGCUGCCUUCUAGCUGUAAUCUCCCCAUGUUCCCUAAUAUCUUUUCUCCCUGUUCCCCAGCAGGCCCACUCCCUGCCUCAUGCUCCAUAUGUCCUGCCAUGCCUUGCUCACCCCUAUAACUUCCUUGUGAUGCUCUGAUAAACCCACCCCUCAUUGCCCCAAUAUAGUCCCACUCACCCUGAAGGCUACUGGCCAGCAAAAGGAUUGGUAGCAAGGGUCUUGCUCUGAUGAACCUCUUAAAGGUGGAGAAGCUUUCUUGGUGAUGAACCCCAAGACAUUUGCCAAACCCAGACUGUGUCUUUGUUGUGGCAGGGUAUGCUGGGCUUGUUAGCAUAAGUGACUGCAAAUUCAAUCCUCCCCUCUGCCUGACUUCCCACCAUUUCAAAGGGAUAAAGCAGUGGAUGAAUGAUGCUCCUAUAGAGCAGUUUAAGUGAAAAGAAGGAUCGCCCCCCCACCCCGCCAAUGUCCGAGUUUCUGCAUGUAUUUGUUGGUCACUUGGCCAAAUUUCUGACCUUCGUUCUGUGUUUACAGCUUCCACUGAUCUCAAGGGGAGCCCUCUGUGUGCACUGGAGGGUAGAAUUUGAUGCUAUAAUAGCUCUGUUCUCAGAGUAUUACAAGGAACUUUUAAUCUAUGGGGUAAAAGUGUAUGACAGCUCCUCCAGGCUAUACAGCACUGACCUGAUGGGGGACAAAAGAGUAAAUAAAAAUACAUGCCACAACUGGAUUUUUCAGAACCACAUCUUCCAUGGUAAGAGAGAGGCACAGUGAUCAUUUCUUGUGGGGCAAAGGCAUUGUUAUUGUAUUUCUGAUCCUCCAAACUGUAAGACACAUCCAAAACAUCUUUAGAAAAGCUUAGUAGAAAUAACCAAUCUAAAUAAUUUCUCAGUGUCUUUAUCUGUAUUAUAGUGCUAUGGUAGCAACCUCAUAACUAUGGUUGAGAUAGAUUUUCUGUUCUAAACUUCUGAUUUUUGCUUUUCAUUUUCUUUUGGAUAGAGAAUAUCCAAUCUUUUUCUCAUACUCUCUUAACUUUUGGGUGCAUUUUAACUCCAGAAUAGAUAACAUGGAUUUUAUUUGCACAUGAGAACAGUUGACUGGUAAGAAAUAUAUUAACAAGCAUUCCUACAGUCAGAUAAACUCGAUAUCAGCUUGAUUUUAAAAUUUCCAACUUGGUAUGCAUGGCACAUAGUCCUGCAUGAGGAGUAUGUGCUUUGCUUGAAGAGAUCUAGUUUCAAAAUAACAAAAUUAUGGACAUUUUAAAAUGUAUCCUGAGUUUGCACAGCAGGUUUAAUCUUAACUUCAGAAGCAAGCACCAGGGUGUGAUGCUCUGAAUAUUCACCAGUGAGGAUAUUUGAAAGCUCACACCUACAUGUAUUUUAAUGUGUGAUCACUCUUAAGAGCUGCAAUGUUUCAAGUAAAAUUUACAAAAGGAAUAAGGGGAUGGGACCCUUAUUAUAUAUCAUAUAACAAAUUUCUAUUUCCAGUCUAAAUUAAAGAGCAUAGGCAAAGCAUGUAGCAUACUCACAUUUCAACAGCUCCUUUAUUUUCAUGUUGUUUCUCCUUUGAAUUGUUUUUCAUUUCUUUAAAAACUAGGCGUGUUUUGGAGAAGCCCCUGUGACAUUGCUCAUGCGGUUUCCUAUCUAGCAAAAUGGGAAAUGUGCUUCCCUCUAUCCCUCUUUCAGUGGAGCUGUUUCCAGGUUGUUUAUGAUGACUUGGAAACAAGUAUUCCAUCUUGGGAUAACAGAAGCACAAGAGGAGGUUACACAAAGCAGCCCUGCAUUUUCAAAGCUGAACACUGCAAAUUGUUCUUGUAAAAAAAAAAACAAAAACCCAAAUGAUAUUGGAAACAAGGCACCUGGCAACAUAAUAUGUUCAAUUCAACCUCAAACUUGUGAUUCAUAUUUGUUAGUUAGCUAGAACUAGAUGAUCCUCUUCAGACCGAUAACAGUUUUAGACUCUAAAGGAGACGCUUUCCCUGCUGUUCUGUGACCACUACUUCAGCUGGAAUCAUGCCGGUAGGGUCAUACUCAGACCUGAUAUCCAGUUGAAGUGCCUAUAAAAUCCAGACCAUGAUAUAGCUCAGUGAACCAUGCAGGAGACACUUUGAAAGAAAAGUUAAUGAAAUUUCUUUUUCAAUCCAGCAUCAUAAAUACCUGAAACCAGUGUAGUAAUAAAGACCAUUAUCCAGUGUAAGAUACACCCUUCGUGGACUGUGAUGCUUUUUGGUAUUUUUCAAUAAACAGGCAUCUCCAGUCAUUUAGAACAGAAGAGAAAUUAUUUCCUUUUAAUUUGAAAUAACAUUUCUUAUUUAUGCUAAUAAUCUAUCAUACAUCAAAUGGGAAUGCAAGAGAUUAUUUUUACCAGAAUUAGAUUGGCUUAUUCCCUCAAAGUCUCUCUUCAGCUUUCUUAUAUUUCUAUAGCUUUUAUUAUUAGAAAA